rnacentral:rRNA from 1 species
UAGGAAUUUUGCGCAAUGGGCGAAAGCCUGACGCAGCAACGCCGCGUGAGGGAAGACGGCUUUCGGGUUGUAAACCUCUUUUAGCAGGGACGAACACAAUGACGGUACCUGCAGAAAAAGCACCGGCUAACUACGUGCCAGCAGCCGCGGUAAUACGUAGGGCGCAAGCGUUAUUCGGAUUUAUUGGGCGUAAAGCGCAUGUGGGCGGUUCGGUAAGUCUGGUGUGAAAGCCCUCGACUCAAUCGAGGAAGUGCAUUGGAUACUGUCGAACUGGAGUACAGGAGGGGUGAGCGGAAUUCCAGGUGUAGAGGUGAAAUUCGUAGAUAUCUGGAGGAACAACAGCGGCGAAGGCGGCUCACUGGACUGUAACUGACGCUCAGAUGCGAUAGUGUGGGGAGCAAACAG